UACGAAGGGGGCUAGCGUUGCUCGGAAUCACUGGGCGUAAAGGGUGCGUAGGUGGCGCUGUAAGUCGGGUGUGAAAUUUCGGAGCUUAACUCCGAAACUGCAUUCGAUACUGCGGUGCUUGAGGACUGGAGAGGAGACUGGAAUUCAUGGUGUAGCAGUGAAAUGCGUAGAGAUCAUGAGGAAGACCAGUGGCGAAGGCGGGUCUCUGGACAGUUCCUGACACUGAGGCACGAAGGCCAGGGGAGCAAACGGG
rnacentral:rRNA from 1 species